UCCCUGGUAGCUCAGCGGUAGAGCAAUCGCCUGUUAAGCGAUGGGUCGCAGGUUCGAAUCCUGCCCGGGGAGCCA
rnacentral:tRNA from 1 species